rnacentral:snRNA from 13 species
AUGCUCUGGUUUCUCUUCAGAUCGUAUAAAUCUUUCGCCUUUUACUAAAGAUUUCCGUGGAGAGGAGCAUUUACGAGUUUUUAACCCAAUUUUUUUAGGCUCUGCACCAGCAGAGCU